CGCUGUGUUUUAGUGCCAAAGUUCCUGUGUGUGAAAGAAUAUGAGUCGCUGACCCGCUCUGAGAUGAAGGUUGGGUCUAGCCGCCCCACAGCUGUCUAGAAAGGCAGAGUUGGAAGCAAGGGGGCCCAGCUGGAACCUUGUGACCCAGUGGACAGUUUUAUCCUCUCCGCAUCCAUGGUAAUUGUCCAGGUCCAAGAAGAUUUACGUUAACCACCGGAUGUUUCUUGUCAGAAUCUCAUACCAGGUGAUUGGAUUUAUGUAAAGGUCCAUCAUUGGAAAAAUGUGCUUCAACUGACACGGAAUGGACUGUUCCAGGUGGUUUGGCCCACUAACACUGCUGUUUGUUGCCCAGGUCUCUCGACGUGGACUUGCACUGUAAAAAGGUAUCACCUCUAUUGGACCCUAGAGCAGUUGAAUUGCAACCUGGGCUAAGACCUUUCCCUGAGGCGAAGGACGAACAGCGGCAAGAUCUUAGUCUGGAAAAUGAGGAGUAUCAGGGUGCAAGUGCUAGUAACCUCUCCCCUGAACCCAGCACUGCAGCCUGGCCAGAUUCACCAGUUGGCGAUGGAAGAUAUUAUCUCUGAGCCCAAUGAAUAAUGUCCAGACUUUAUACGUGUAUAUCCCAGAUGGUUCUAGUGCUAUUGAGCAUGUGGGCCAAAGUAUAGAGAAAGAAGUUGCUAAAGUUUAUGAAACUGAUGAAUGGAGUGUGUGCAGCUGUUUUGUCACAUUUGGGGCCAAAAGAUUUUGUAGUGCAAUCAUGGUCCUGGAGUUUAUUCUCUUUCUCCAACUGUCCUUCUUAUUGCUAUGCAAUUGGUACCUUAGUUGAUCCCAACAAAGGUGCAAAAAUUCUGUCUAAUGUGAUACUGGGUCAAUUGCAAGUAGUCUGUCAAUUGUUCUCAAGGGAGCGUUGACAGAUACUGUAGCUAAGACGAAGCGUGACUGUGCCUCGCAGGAUGCAUAAAUCAUAAUGUUUUGA